CGCUACGGACUUAAAAUCCGUUGGCUUUAUUGACCGUGAGGGUUCAAGUCCCUCUACCCCCA
rnacentral:tRNA from 6 species